rnacentral:rRNA from 1 species
AAACAUGGCUCUUUGAAUACAUAAUAUAAAGAGUCAGACCUGCCCAGUGAGAAAAACUUUAACGGCCGCGGUACUCUGACCGUGCAAAGGUAGCAUAAUCAUUUGCCUCUUAAUUAGAGGCUGGAAUGAACGGUUUAACAUGAGCAAGACUGUCUCUAUGCAAUUUUAUAAAAUUUAAUUUUUAGGUGAAGAAGCCUAUAUAUAAUUAAAAGACAAGAAGACCCUAUCGAGCUUUAAAAAAUUUAAAUGAAAUCUUUUAUAUUUAUAGAAAAAUUGCCUUUAAAAAUUUUAGUUGGGGCGACUAAGGAACAACAAAAACUUCUUUCUACUAACUAAGUUUACACACUUUGAUCCAGAAUUUUUGAUUAAAGAAAUUAGUUACCGUAGGGAUAACAGCAUAAUCUUUUUUGAGAGCUCUUAUCGAAAAAAAGGUUUGUGACCUCGAUGUUGGACCAGAAUAUCCUAAAGAUGCAACCGUCUUUAAGGGUUGGUCUGUUCGACCAUUAAAAUUCUACGUGAUCUGAGUUCAGACCGGCGUGAGCCAGGUCAGUUUCUAUCUUUAAUUACAAAAGUUAAGUUUAGUACGAAAGGACCAACUUUAUAGUAUCUAGUACAAAUUAUGAUUAAAUAUAAUACUUAAAUUAAUUUACUAAAAAUCAAAUUAGCAAAAUAUGCAAUUGACUUAGGAUCAAUAGAUAUAGGUGCAAAUCCUUUAUUUGAUAUAUCUUUAUAUAAAGAUGGCAGAUUAAGUGCAUUAGGUUAG